rnacentral:lncRNA from 1 species
UGGGGAAUAUUGUGUGACUAUUAUAUGAUACAAUCAGUGUUAAAGAGUUAAAGAAAUAGUGUUGAAGAGUUGAAAUGUUUUGUUUGUUCUUUACUUUUAAAAAAGUUGAAAUUAAUGUUUUGCAUUAUAUUUGGUUGGAAGGUGAGUUCAAUGGUAUAUCACUUUUUAAAAUUGUAACAUAUUAUAUUAUGUUUUGUUCUUCGGUGAAGAAAAUAGAUUUUGAGUGAAUUAAUUCUCU